rnacentral:lncRNA from 1 species
AUUAUAAUAUGAGGUAAAAAAAUUAAUGCUUAACUUACCUGAUCCUCAAACAUUGAGUCAAGCAAUUGACUUUGCUGUGAAGUACGACAAUCGCCUUUUUGAAUUUCGAUCUGAGAACCAUACAAGUGGACCUCAACGUUACUAUAAUUCAAUGGCAACACCAACACCUCUUCAACGCAUACAUUCGGAAGUAAAGGAUAUGCAAAUUGAUUCAGUACAUUUCAAAGUCUGAUUGAGCAAGAAAAGACUCG